AUUCCUACGGGAGGCAGCAGUGGGGAAUAUUGGACAAUGGGCCACAAGCCUGAUCCAGCAAUUCUGUGUGCACGAUGAAGGCCUUCGGAUUGUAAAGUGCUUUCAGUUGGGAAGAAGAAAGUGACGGUACCAACAGAAGAAGCGACGGCUAAAUACGUGCCAGCAGCCGCGGUAAUAAU
rnacentral:rRNA from 1 species